GAGCUAUGAGGAUAUUUUGCACCUUUGUGAUGGUUGGGUCUAUCACUCUCAUCUGAUAUGGAGAUGAAAGCAGCAGGUUUAACUGAGCUC
rnacentral:snoRNA from 9 species